GAUCCAGCUCAGGACAGCGGGUUGGAGCGCCAGCAGGGACUUUCUGGACAUUUGAGUCUGGGUCACUUUGUUGUUCAGGAUGGUUCAAAGAAGUUACCCGGUUUCUCAAUAUACCCCGGAUGCACUUGUAGACUUGGUCUCUACCUCCUCUGGUGAGCAGCUCUCCUAGCUCCUAUCACUUACCUAGUUCCGUCAUGGUGUGUCCAGAAUCGGCGGAUUCUUGGUCUCACUGACUUCAAGAACGAAGCCGCGGACCCUGGCGGUGAGUGUUACAGUUUUUAAAGGCAGCGUGUCCCAAGUUUGUUUCUUCUGAUGCUCGCAUGUGUUCGGAGUUUCUUCCUUCUGGCAGAUUCGUGAUCUCGCUGACUUCAGGAGUGAAGCUACGGACCUUCAUCAUGAGUGCUACGGCUCUUAAGGUGGCGUGUUUGGAGUUAUUCGUUUCUCCCGGUGGGUCCGUGAUGUGGCUGGCUUUAAGAACGAAGCUGCAGACCUUCACGAGAGCACAGUGAUCUUCCUUACAAGCGGGAUUCCCGAGAGGAAAAUGUUUGUAAUCAGAUUUGACUCUAGGAUUAAGAGGGCAAGGUGCGACCCUCUUAGUGAACCGGAAAGUAAGCAACGGUACACAAGUGUUCUCACCAGGGACAGCAAAUGGGAGUUGCCAAGAUUACAAGAUCCCAAGACCUCAACUAUUUCACGUGCUGAACUAAACUCAAAACUUUGUGGGAUUUGUUUUAAAUUUCUCAUUGGCAAGUGGUGACUUCCUGCUCUCGCAAGAAAAAAGAUUAAAGGGGUUUGUUUACUGUCUCUGACACAAACAGCUCUUACAACACAUUUUGUACACUUGACAUAAAUGAAAUUUAAUCAAACUGGUCAAAUUCCUUUGGGAGGUGGGGAGAAAAUAAAUCAAUCAGCAAGAAGCA
rnacentral:lncRNA from 1 species